UGCUCCAUCUCACUGCAUUUGUGUUGAUACCGCAGAGACACUAUUGACACUUGGCGUCAAGGGUGAUAACCUGUGGUCAGGGACCGGGGUGGGGGAGGAGGCGUUAAGGGGAGGGAGUGCAGAAUGGAACAAUCCUCCAGACAGCUAGCAGAGCUCUCAACGAGUAUGCUCACCACACCAUUAGACGGGCCAAAAAUGGAACCCGACAAGGCAACCAAUCACAGCAAAGAUGGGUCCUACCCAGCGUGGGACUAUGAUGGAUAAUGAUAACCCAUAACCCUCUGGCUGCUCUAAAACCUGAGAGAGAUUAGCUAGGAGGAGGAGAGAGAUUACUACUACAGAGGCCCAUCCCUCCCCCGGGUUAUCGGUGGCCAGCCAGCUUAUACGGUGAGACUCCUCCUGAAGGUUCGACCACGGGGUAGGGGUUUUCAGUACCUGGUUCACUGGGAUGGUUAUGGCCCAUAGGAGAGGUGCUGGGUCCCUGCUCAAGACAUCUUGGACCCGGCCCUCAUUGCCGAUUUCCACAGCCGAAAACCCGGUCAGCCAGGUAUGUGCCCAGGUAGGACGCCAGGUGGCGUCUCUAGGAGGGUGGGUACUGUCACGCCCUGAUCUGUCUCACCUGUUCCUGUGAUUGUCUCAACCCCCUCCAAGUGUCACUUAUUUUCCCCAGUGUAUUUAUCCCUUUGUUUCCUGUCUCUCUUUGCCAGCUCGUCUUGUAUGUUAGUCAAGUCAACCAGCGUGUUUUUCCCGUUCUCCUUUUGCUAUUCUCUUUUUGGUAGUCUUCCCGGUUUUGACCCCUGCCUGACUCUGGACUACUUUCCUGCCUGCCUGAUCAUCCUGCCUGCCCUGACCUUGAUUCUGCCUGCCUGAUAAUCCUGCCUGCCCUGACCUUGAUUCUGCCUGCCUGAUCAUCCUGCCUGCCCUGACCUUGAUUCUGCCUGCCCUUUGGUACCUUUUGGACUCUGAACUGGUAUUGACCCUUUUCCCUGUCCACGAUCAUUCUCUUGCCUUAACCUAUUGGAUUAAUAAAUAUUGUAAGACUCCAA